rnacentral:rRNA from 1 species
AUUGAACGCUGGCGGCAGGCCUAACACAUGCAAGUCGAGCGGAUGAAGGGAGCUUGCUCCUGGAUUCAGCGGCGGACGGGUGAGUAAUGCCUAGGAAUCUGCCUGGUAGUGGGGGAUAACGUCCGGAAACGGGCGCUAAUACCGCAUACGUCCUGAGGGAGAAAGUAGGGGAUCUUCGGACCUCACGCUAUCAGAUGAGCCUAGGUCGGAUUAGCUAGUUGGUGGGGUAAAGGCCUACCAAGGCGACGAUCCGUAACUGGUCUGAGAGGAUGAUCAGUCACACUGGAACUGAGACACGGUCCAGACUCCUACGGGAGGCAGCAGUGGGGAAUAUUGGACAAAGGGCGAAAGCCUGAUCCAGCCAUGCCGCGUGUGUGAAGAAGGUCUUCGGAUUGUAAAGCACUUUAAGUUGGGAGGAAGGGCAGUAAGUUAAUACCUUGCUGUUUUGACGUUACCAACAGAAUAAGCACCGGCUAACUUCGUG